rnacentral:misc_RNA from 1 species
AGAGAUCACGACUAUCUAAUAGUAGGGAAACGGGGCAACAAGACAGAGUCUUGAAGGACAGCCUUUUUGGUUUCAAAUCAGGAAGAGUUGCUCCUGGAUUUGGUGUUGGGGCUCUUGAAGAUCUUGAUGUUGAAGAUGAAGAUGUGUAUGCAUCAGGUUAUGACUUUGAAGAGACUUGUGUUGAAGAAGUUGAAGAGCCUUCAAGACCAAAGGUGGAGAAUCUGAAAAUGUUGGACAGGAAGGCACAUGAUGUUCUACCUGGUUUUAGUGCUGCUUCAAAAUCCGACUAUCAGCUGGAAAGAUUCGAUGCUCCAGUGAUACCACAGAAUUUUGUCCCUCGUCAUAAGUUUGCAGCUCCCCUUGAAUCCGAUGACGAAGCUCCUGCUCUUCCUCCUCCUGUUUUUCCUCCCCCGGAGGAUAAUAAUCUUAGAAUAUUGAUUGAAGGGU